rnacentral:rRNA from 1 species
UCGCUAACGUGCCCCUAUGCCUGGGAUAGCCAUCCGAAAGGAUGGGUAAUACCGGAUGAGACCACAAUCCCGCAUGGGAUGGUGCUCAAAGGAGUAAUCCGCAAAGGGAGCGGGCGAUAUCGUAUCAGCUAGUUGGUGAGGUAACGGCUCACCAAGGCGACGACGCGUAGCCGGGCUGAGAGGUCGGCCGGCCACAUUGGGACUGAGACACUGCCCAG